AAAAAUCUACUUUCAAGAAUCACGUCUGUAGUUCAUUACUAGAGAAGUUUCUCUGAGCAUGUAGAGCACCGGAAAACCGUGAAGAGGAGGUACAGCGUUCUCUCCCGAGUGUGAAACCUGCUCUUGGUGUUGCUUCUGCAACUGCCAUUUGCCAUUGGUAAUCAUCCUUCUCUUCCUUUGGGAGAGAGGCAGAGGAUGCUGCCUGAGCAGU